rnacentral:lncRNA from 1 species
ACAAGAAGUGCACUAGCGGAAACAUACAUAAACGGCUUACACGAGGGUAAGCAAUAGCCAUGAGUGAAAGAAAGGGAACUAAAUAUCUACACAAGUACUAUGAUUCUCUUUUGAUCACAUGCAUUGCAUUUAACCUUCAUAUUCAUGAUUCUUUACAUUUCAUUACAUCACUUGCAUCAUUUCUUUUUACAUCACAAUGCCUCAAAAUAAACUUUACAAUCUUUUCUUUCUUUACUUGAUACAUGAACAUCUUAAAUUAUCAAAUACAA